rnacentral:lncRNA from 1 species
AGAAACAGACUCUCCUGGUACAGAGGAAACACAACUCACAAGCAGAGGUAGGGGUAUGUUCAACCUGAUCGUCCUCAAAGUAAUGCCAAUUAAAAUGAGACAAAGAAGACAGACAAAUAGCCAGCAGUUCCACAGCGACUCAGGGGACUGCCAGGGUUCAAAUCCUGCUCCUGCUAGAUGCCACUUCUGCUGCUCUUCAUUGCUGCCCUAGACAAGGCCAGGCCCUGCGGCGUGCUGCGAGCCUUCCUUCCGUUAUCUUUACCAGCUCUACAUGGUCAUUCACAGAUGAGAAAGCUGAAGAUCAGAGAGCUCACACAUUUCCCACAAGGUUACACAGUCAGUAAGAGACACUAUCAGGAUUCCAAUGACCUGCUGUUAAAGUUCAUCUCUUAUUCACUCAUUGCCUCCCUCAAGGCUGAAGAGUGGGGUGGAGGGGAGACCAGCAGAGCUACUGAGCUCAAUCUGCCUCCUUGGCCCUCCCAGCCCAGAGCUCUGCCAGCGGUGGUAGGAGGAGUGUGUUCUGGUAGAUAUCAUGGAGCAGGAGUCCCUAGCACCAAGAAGCUGAGAUCCGGAAGAGGCGCCCCAAAAAAUCAGCCUGG